UUCCCAUCUGGUAUUUUCAGGUUCCAGCCAACCACAUACCUGGACCAGACUAGGAGCACUGGAUAGUGGGAACAUGAUUUAUCAUGCACAGUUCUUUUGCCUGUGCUCUCCAGGCUCUGUUGGAGAAGUGAAAUGCCAUCCAAACCAGUGGCCACAGCUUGCUGUGGAGGCUGGAAAAUACUACAAGCCAUGGUACAAAGUUGACAUGAAGCAGCAUCAGGCCGGGCACCAGGAGAGCAGAGAUGUAAAGAGUCCUGGUAAGAGAUCCACGACCAGAUGCACAGGACAGAAAGGCUGUCUGGAGGUCCAGCCACCGCACUGACUCCUCCCCAUACAGGGCUCACACAAUAUCCAAACCAAGAAAAGGGAGCUGGAGCAGGCAGAACACUCCUGGUUCCAUCACUUCUCUGGCUUUGUCAUGACAUCAUUUAAUUAACAUUACUGAACCACUAGUUUUUGAUACAAAAUUGAUCUAAGAACUACAUUCACAUGGAGCUACUGUAAGCAUGAAUCAAAUAACACAAGCAGCCCCCUGCCAUGGGAAGGGAGGUAGCAGCCAGUAGUAUAGAAGUUAGAAAUAUAGACUCAGGGGCCAUGCUACUGGGCCAUGUCCUACUCCUAUCCAUGACUCACAUGCAGCUAAUUAAUUUCUAUUAGGCUUCAGUUUCCUUGUGUAUAACAGAGUAAUGAUGGUGAUGAUAACAGUACUUCCAGUACAGAGUUGUUUUGUGAUUACACAGCGCAGUAAGGCAUUUACAGCAGUGCCUGGUACACAGUGACAAACGGUAACUAUGAAUUGCAUUUCCUGCUUGAGGGGACAAUAACCCAUUUUACAGAUUCCACUUUGUGAAGAAAAAAGAAGCAAAAAGAAUAUACCACACCUCUGACUGCUAGCUUCAAAAAGGCCUGUUUGUACAGGUGGCCUUUGGGAACCUAAAUCUUCUGAGUUCUUGAAAGAAUAGCUUGUGUGCCUCAACUGUAUUUCCUGCUUUCCUUUUGGGAGUUUGCAAUUGUGGUAUGUUCUAGGGAUAAGGUACCUAUCUGACUGGCUUCAGUGAAAAGCCUUCAUACUGAGUCUCUAAUGAGCUUCCCUGGUAGAAAUUUUGCUCCUGCUAUUAUAAUUUGUUCUUAGAGGCAUUGGGCACAGCCCAUGUUCUUCCACUGAGGGGACUCUUGAAAAUUUAUACCUUGUUUCCGGCAGACUCUGUACUACAGUCCUCUCCCUUUGCUGAUUUUACUUGGUAUCCUCUUGCUGUAAUAAAUGAUACUCCUGAG